rnacentral:lncRNA from 1 species
UUGUGUAUAGUUACCAGAGCGGUAUAUGUUUUUGGUAGGAUGCGAAUGUGUAGCAGUUUGGAACCUUCAAGCUACUGUUUUGGGGUUAAGCAGAUGUCAUGUAUGAGUUUAGUGCUACUUUGGUGUCAAUCUUUGGUUAGACAUGGCAUGCUCUGUCCAGUAUUUGUUGGUUGUAAGGAUUAGCUUCGCUCUGCUUUGGAAUGCCUGAUAUUAGAUGUCACGUGGUUGCAAAAAUAUCUUUGUCUGAACUUUCUAUGAAGAUAUUGGUCUACUUAUUUGAUUUACACACUACUUCUCUAGCAUCCUAGAUAAUCCUAGAUGUUCAGUAAACUAACAGUGUUUUCUCUCUUCUAUGAGAUGCACUUCCUUGCAUCAUUCCAGAAAGCACAGGAGGAGAAGCUAUUCUUCCUCAGAAUCUGAUAGUGAAUCAGAGAGCGACAGUGAUCGUAAACACAGGAAGAGGAAGGACCGCAAAAGGCACAGGAAACAUGGCCACUCUGACUUUGAUGGCGCCAGGAGGCGCAAGCAUAGGUCAAAGAGGAGGUAUUCAGACUCUAGUGAUGAGAGUGACAGCGAUAACUACAAUGGUGAAU